GGCCGCGUAGCGAAAUGCACAAGUGGUCGGUCUUUGGAAUCGAAGAUUGCAGGUUCGAAUCCUGCGGCGGUCC
rnacentral:tRNA from 1 species